UCACAACCUCUACGACCAGCUGGACAUCAACUCCGACAACCACGUGGACAAAGUGGACAUUGACGGUCUGUUUGCUGUGGCUGACACAGACAAGAAUAAUCAGGUGGCCAAGGCUGAGUUUACUACAUUUUUCUCAAAGGCUGUACAGGCAGCUACAGCUGGUUAGACUCGGACACGUGACCAUGACGUCAAUGUAUAUCAUAUGAAAACCAUGUAUCCACCACAAAACAUUUUCGUAUAUUAAUAAAAUAAUGUAAUAAAAAAUAUUUCUAAUUGAA
rnacentral:sRNA from 1 species